GAAGGAAGAUGAUUUUGGAGAGACUGGGAGUUCAGUGAGGGAUACUGAGUCCCCAUUGGUCGACGUGUGAGAGCCAAAGAGGAGGAAUAAGGCCUGCAUCACUGUGGAUUCUCAAUGGGGAGGACUUGCUAACUGAUGGGACAGAUGGGUGGAGGCGGCAGGUUUCAGGGUUUCUCACUUGGCUGGCACAGAAGGGGGAAGGAGGGGUCAGCUAUCACUGUGGACAUGUUGUUUUGGUGAAGACACGACCAUGGGUCAUCUAACCAGAGAUGUCCAGCAGGCUGGCAGAAAUAUGGGCGUGGAAGUUGAAAGGGAGAAGUUGGAGGCAUAUUUUUCCUCUGACACAUUUUUGUCCAGCAUCCAUUCCUGAGGUUUGGCUCAGGCCGCUGUGGACUGGUGGGGGAAGUGCAGCUCCCAGAUUUUGGUUGUAUUUACAGAACCACAGCAGCAAAGCCACUGCCUUCCCCGUUGCUACACAGGAGAAUUUGUGCAGACUCGGGGGUCCCUGGGAAGAUGUCACACUAAGGACACAGCUCUGGGCUGGCACUGAGGUUCUGUCUACAGAUGGAUUAUGUGAACAUCCAGGCUUUACUUUGCUCGUGAGUCCAUUUGGGAAAGGUAAAAUCAGGAACAGUAACUUUGGGACAGCCUGUGUUGGUGAUGGUUUCAGCUUUGACCAAAAGCUACCUGGACUCUAA
rnacentral:lncRNA from 1 species